rnacentral:tRNA from 2 species
GGACCGUUAGCUUAGUUGGCCUAAAGCAAGGGACUUUUAAUCUCUGAUCCUGGGUUCGAAUCCCAGACGGUUCUCCA